CGUAGGUGCAAGCGUUAAUCGGAAUUACUGGGCGUAAAGCGUGCGCAGGCGGUUUUGUAAGUCUGUCGUGAAAUCCCCCGGGCUCAACCUGGGAAUUGCGAUGGAGACUGCAAGGCUAGAAUCUGGCAGAGGGGGGUAGAAUUCCACGUGUAGCAGUGAAUGCGUAGAGAUGUGGAGGAACACCGAUGGCGAAGGCAGCCCCCUGGGGUCAAGAUUCGAACGCUCAAUGCACGAAAGACGUGGGAGCGAAACAGGAUU
rnacentral:rRNA from 1 species